UACGGGGGGGGCAAGCGUUGUUCGGAAUCACUGGGCGUAAAGCGCACGUAGGCGGACUUACAGGUCAAUUGUGAAAUACCUGAGCUCAACUCAGGAACUGCAGUUGAAACCGUUUGUCUUGAAUACCUGAGAGGGUGGGGGAAUACCUGGUGGAGAAGUGAAAUUCGUAGAGAUCAGCAGGAAUACCCGUGGCGAAGGCGGCCCCCUGGGCCGAACCUGACGCUGAGGCGCGAAGGCUAGGGGAGCGAACGGG
rnacentral:rRNA from 1 species